UGCUGAUUUUGUCUUCGUGCAGCCCUUACCACUCUCUGGAGAACUUUCUCUCCCCUGGCCACAAUCGCAACUCUUAGGGAAAACUGAUUGCACCAGUCUUGGAAGAAGAGGGAACAAUUCCAAACAAUAAGAUCACUGUAUUGGGUGUUGGACAAGUUGGUAUGGCAUGUGCCAUCAGCAUUCUGGGAAAGUCUCUGACUGAUGAGCUUGCUCUUGUGGAUGUUUUGGAAGAUAAACUCAAAGGAGAAAUGAUAGACCUGCAGCACAGGAGCUUAUUCCUUCAGACACCAAAAACUAUGGCAGACAAAGAUUACUCUGUCACUUCCAAUUCAAAGAUCAUGGUGGUAACUGCAGGAGUUCGCCAGCAAGAGGGGGAGAGCUACCUGAAUUUGGUGCAAAGGAAUGUUAAUGUCUUCAAGUUCAUCAUUCCUCAGAUUAUUAAGUACAGUCCUGACUGCACUGUCAUUGUGGUUUCCAACCCAGUGGAUAUUCUCACAUAUGUUACCUGGAAACUAAGUGGAUUACCCAAGCACCAUGUGAUUGGGAGUGGAUGUAACCUGGAUUCUGCUAGAUUUCGCUACCUUAUGGCUGAAAAACUUGGCAUUCAUCCCAGCAGCUGCCACAGAUGGAUUUUGGGGGAACGUGGCAACUCAAGCGUGGCUGUGUGGAGUGGAGUCAAUGUGGCAGGCGUUUCUCUCCAGGAACUGAAUCCAGAAAUGGGAAUAGACAAUAAUAGUGAAAAUUGGAAGGAAGUGCAUAAGAUGGUGGUUGAGAGUGCCUAUGAAGUCAUCAAGCUAAAAGGAUAUACCAACUGGGCUAUUGGAUUAAGUGUGGCUGAUCUUAUUGAAUCCAUGUUGAAAAAUCUAUCCAGAAUUCACCCAGUGUCAACAAUGGAGAAGAGAAUGUAUGGCAUUGAGAAUGAAGUCUUCCUGAGCCUUCUAUGUAUCCUGAAUGCUCGAGGGUUAACCAGUGUUAUCUACCAGAAGGUGAAGGAUUAAGAGGUUGCCCAACUCAAGAAAAAUGUAGAUACCCUCUGGGGCAUCCAAAAGGACCUAAAGGACCUGUGACUUCUGGCUGCAAGGCUGUAGAAA